AGUGAACGCUGGCGGUAGGCCUAACACAUGCAAGUCGAACGGCAGCACAGUAAGAGCUUGCUCUUACGGGUGGCGAGUGGCGGACGGGUGAGGAAUACAUCGGAAUCUACUUUUUCGUGGGGGAUAACGUAGGGAAACUUACGCUAAUACCGCAUACGACCUACGGGUGAAAGCAGGGGAUCUUCGGACCUUGCGCGAUUGAAUGAGCCGAUGUCGGAUUAGCUAGUUGGCGGGGUAAAGACCCACCAAGGCGACGAUCCGUAGCUGGUCUGAGAGGAUGAUCAGCCACACUGGAACGGAGACACGGUCCAGACUCCUACGGGAGGCAGCAGUGGGGAAUAUUGGACAAUGGGCGCAAGCCUGAUCCAGCCAUACCGCGUGGGUGAAGAAGGCCUUCGGGUUGUAAAGCCCUUUUGUUGGGAAAGAAAAGCAGCAGGUUAAUACCCCGCUGUUCUGACGGUACCCAAAGAAUAAGCACCGGCUAACUUCGUG
rnacentral:rRNA from 1 species